UCUGCUCAGGACGAACGCUGGCGGCGUGCCUAAUACAUGCAAGUCGAGCGGACAGAAGGGAGCUUGCUCCCGGAUGUUAGCGGCGGACGGGUGAGUAACACGUGGGUAACCUGCCUGUAAGACUGGGAUAACUCCGGGAAACCGGAGCUAAUACCGGAUAGUUCCUUGAACCGCAUGGUUCAAGGAUGAAAGACGGUUUCGGCUGUCACUUACAGAUGGACCCGCGGCGCAUUAGCUAGUUGGUGAGGUAACGGCUCACCAAGGCGACGAUGCGUAGCCGACCUGAGAGGGUGAUCGGCCACACUGGGACUGAGACACGGCCCAGACUCCUACGGGAGGCAGCAGUAGGGAAUCUUCCGCAAUGGACGAAAGUCUGACGGAGCAACGCCGCGUGAGUGAUGAAGGUUUUCGGAUCGUAAAGCUCUGUUGUUAGGGAAGAACAAGUGCAAGAGUAACUGCUUGCACCUUGACGGUACCUAACCAGAAAGCCACGGCUAACUACGUGCCAGCAGCCGCGGUAAUACGUAGGUGGCAAGCGUUGUCCGGAAUUAUUGGGCGUAAAGGGCUCGCAGGCGGUUUCUUAAGUCUGAUGUGAAAGCCCCCGGCUCAACCGGGGAGGGUCAUUGGAAACUGGGAAACUUGAGUGCAGAAGAGGAGAGUGGAAUUCCACGUGUAGCGGUGAAAUGCGUAGAGAUGUGGAGGAACACCAGUGGCGAAGGCGACUCUCUGGUCUGUAACUGACGCUGAGGAGCGAAAGCGUGGGGAGCGAACAGGAUUAGAUACCCUGGUAGUCCACGCCGUAAACGAUGAGUGCUAAGUGUUAGGGGGUUUCCGCCCCUUAGUGCUGCAGCUAACGCAUUAAGCACUCCGCCUGGGGAGUACGGUCGCAAGACUGAAACUCAAAGGAAUUGACGGGGGCCCGCACAAGCGGUGGAGCAUGUGGUUUAAUUCGAAGCAACGCGAAGAACCUUACCAGGUCUUGACAUCCUCUGACAACCCUAGAGAUAGGGCUUUCCCUUCGGGGACAGAGUGACAGGUGGUGCAUGGUUGUCGUCAGCUCGUGUCGUGAGAUGUUGGGUUAAGUCCCGCAACGAGCGCAACCCUUGAUCUUAGUUGCCAGCAUU
rnacentral:rRNA from 1 species